rnacentral:lncRNA from 1 species
CCGUUUAAAAUAUAUUUUAUUUGAUUCUUGGUAUGGUAUUAUGGAUUUAUUUCACAAAAGCAAGGAAGUCUUAAUUAAGCCUUUAACCGACCUGGCUUUGUCCUGUGACUGAGAGAUCUCACCAGAUGAGAUUAAUGAAGGAAAUUUCCAAUUCUACCAUUGUCUUCAAUAAAAGUGUACAUUGUCUUCAAUAAAAGUGUAGUAUCAUUCAUAGAUGGUAUUAGGCUGGAAAAAGGUUAAUGUUCAUUUCUGACGUGUUGUUACUCUGGAUCUAGAGACAAAAGUACUAGAAAGAAUCUGGAACAGAGCUUGGAUUGUUUUAUUAUGGAUUAGGUUUUAUUAACCUUAAGACAGGAGGAUUAGAUCAACAUUUAGACUGUCAAAAGUUGAUGAAUAAAAGCUUUUAAUUAUGUGAAACGAAAGAAAAGUUAAAAAAAACAGCUUAAUGUAUUAUUUGAUGAACUACAUACGGAUAUCUCUGGUUUAUAAUCAUUUUCUUGAGGGGGGAAUGUAACCAUAGUCCUGAGGUAGUUUUAAAACCAAAGGCUUAAUAUCUGUUGUUAUAUAUGACAAAAACUGGUUAAUUAACAUGACAUUUAUCUUGUACACAUUAAGACUGCAGAAGAAAUUCUCAUACAAAGCAGUGAUCAAUUUGCUGCUUAACAAAACUUGUAUUUAAUCCCUUGUUUACUCCAAUAACUUAGCCAAGGCUGUGUUUUAAUCAGACUGUGAAGUGAGAAUUACAAAUCAACUGAAGAAUGUAACAUCAUUUUUUAUUUGAUUUAAACCCAUUUUCAUAUACAAAGCUAAUGUAUUAUGUACAAAAUAAAUGUACAUUCUUAAAAACUGUUAGAAUACAAAUUUCCAAAGGACUAAAAAAAGUGCAAAAUUCUCAAUUAUCUUCAAUCAUGCUAUACAGAAAUCAAAUAUUUGCUCAUAUACACACACUGAAAAAUUUUUAAACACUCAAUGUAACAAAACAAAACGUACAUCUUACACAUUUAAUCUUAAAAGGAUGAAGAAGAGUGUAUUGCACCAAAUUAACAGUAACUUCAUCAUAACGAGAAGACUAAUCAAAAUUAUUUACACAUCUUUGUUAAAUCUAAAAUUUUCUCAACUUUAAGACCAUUUUUUGGCAUACAAAUAUUGAGUCACAGUUUGCACAGUCAAUAAUUAGAUAUAAAUAAGGCUUAAUAUUCUUUUUCAUGGUCAAUUCCAGUAGAAUAAAUGAGAAGGAACAUUUUAUGAUAACUAUACAACUUUUUGAAUUCCUUAAAUAUUUAAGUAGCAGCACAAUUUGCAAGUAUUUUUUUAAACAAUUCCAAAUUUUCAGCCAUCCUUCUCUUUGUGCAUUUUCAUGCAUUCAAGUCAUUGUCAACCUCCAUAACACUGAAAUGUUCCUAUUUAAUCUGAAUCCCAGAAAAAUGGGCAUGAGACAACUCCUAUGUGUUUGAUAUUUUUCUGUCUUAAUGGAUUCACUUCUACAGCAAUGCAUUUGAAAGAAAAUGUCUAGCUAGAUCUCUGAUUAUUUUUUGCUAAAUUUUUUGCUCCAAGUAUAUAAAAGCAAACAAGUGGGGGAAGAAAAGCCAUACUCCUUAGGAGUUUCUGAAGAGAACAUACCAGUCAUACAGUUUUCUAACAGUUUUUCUUAUGUAAAGCAAAUUAUAAAAUAAACAGUAUCCACAAAUAUGUAAUAAGUCAUAAUUUUGGAUGAAGGUAAAACUAUUAUAAAUACUUUAAAAAGUAAUCAAAAUCUCAAAGGAAAAAAAAAGUUAUUUUCUUUAAUUCCUAUAUAAGAAAUUAAAGGUUGAAUUUUUUCAGUUAGGUCUGAUAACUUAUAUCUCCUUACCAGAACCACUUCUAAAGUGUUUAUUGAUUAAUAUAAUUUUAACAUUCUGAGGAGCAAAAUAUGCCAAUUACAGGUAAGAUUUUUCCUUCAAAAUGCAACACAGGCAUUUUUUGAAUGUAUAGGUUGAGCCCACUAAAUCUUAAAACACAUUGCUUGGAUAGUGUGGGAAAUGUUUCCAAGGGAAGGAACAUCAAAAAUAGCAUUUUAACAUUAACUAGUUAGUACCCUGGCUACCAGAGAACCUCUGGUUUUAAUACCUAUUAAGUUGAAAUAUAUUAUUACCAAAAUAAAAUUUUAUAAGGUCCAAUUGGAGUAAGACUUUUUUAAAAGUUUCUAUUUUAAUCUAUAAAAUACUCAUUUUAUUUUUUGAUCCUAAGUCCUAACUUAUUUUUUAAAUUACAAUGCUACAGUAUAAUAAUAUUACAAAUAGCUGAUCAUUGUGUGCAUUCAAAAAUAGUUAUAAAUUUUAAAUAAUGAGACAGGCAUCAUAGUAGUGGAAAAACACACACAAACACACCCAAAGUUCCACUGACAUUCAACAUUGAAAAAUGAGUGGGUAAUUUUUUCACUGACAGAACUGUGCUGUUGUUAAUGUUAUUACGGUAAUAUUUGCAAAAUAAGCUUCCAAGGAAACAUUAAAACUAUACCACAGAAAACAAAUAUUAGGUUAGUGACUUUCUAGUUCUUUCCCCUUGAAUUUUCAGUUCAUAUAAAUACAGGCAUUAAGACAAAAGUAAAAAGUUGUAUCUGUCCUUUUAUUUUUCACUAUAGCCAUUAGCUUCAUAGGUCCAAAUCCUGUAAUGUGUUUAGAAAUCACCCACAUGUGAAAAAAAAAAAAAAAAAAAAAAGAAAUCACCCACAUGUGAUGAAUGUUAGUGAGAUUGUCUAAGCUAUGUCUGAUGCCAUCUAGCCAAAAAGUAUAUGAUAAAAUAGCCAGUUUUAGAGGAUUCUUAUACUAAAGAAAAUCACUCCAUAACUCCUAUAUCUAGGAUAGCUUUGUAUUUUUAAUAUAGAAAACUGAAUCAUUUCCAACAUAGGCCUGAAUAUCUUAAAUGUUAAUGCUUUGUUUUCUGUAAUACUAAGACUUUAUAUGAAAAAAUUAAAGAUUAUUUCCAUACUGAGAAGUCAUCAGAAGUACGGAUAGGGAUAUAUCCAAUGCUUUUUAUUAGAAAGAUUCUAUUGAUUACUACCUUCAAGGCUAGGGGAGAUCUAAUUCUAUUUUUAGACCUAACAUUUUAUAACUCAUGCUUUUUAUUAAUACUUUAAAAUGUUACCUAAUUCAAAUAUGCAAAACAUUCAUUGACAGUCACUAGGAACUAUUAAAGGAAACAGAUACUUUUUUUGGAAGCAAAUGUUAGUUAUAAUAUUCAAAUGUGAAAGGUCUGAAGAAAGUUAUAAGAAUAAUUCAACUGAAAAGGCAAUUUGGCUAUUUUAGUGGCAAGCUAAACAAAGAUAAGAAAGCCAUCCCAAGCAAAUUUUAGAAAAAUGUCUCCAAGGUUAAUUAUUAAAUCUAUUUUCACAUACGCCUGUGAAUAAGCAAUCUGAUUUAUAAAAAUGAAUGGAUAUUUCUAUAGUGGAAAAUAUUUUAAGACAAUAUAAGAAUACUGAGACAUUUUUUAUACCAAGUUAAGAGAUUCAGAGUAGUGCCUAGACUUCUGUAUAUUUAUAGAAUAUCAUGGAUAAGUCUGAUCUGCAAUCUCAAGAAACACUGGCUUAGGAAAUGGUAGAUUCAAAUUAUAUAAGCUACGGACAACAUUUUAAUAUUGAAAUGAUGACUGAUAAUACUAUAUUGUUGUUGGAAUAAAUGGCAUUGGAAAAAGCACCAGGAUUCUGAUAUAGGAAAGCUCUUCAGAACAAUUUUCCAGAUGGGGUCAAAUUUAAAGCAAAGCAAACAAUGGGUAUAUAUGAUAAAUGAGUCAGGCAAAAAGAAUAUUGAGAACAGAUAUUUCUGAGAGUGAUAAAAAUAUUUAAGACUGGCCACAUACUGGGAAAGAACGGAGUCAGCUGAUGAAAGGACAGUAAUUAGGACAAGUCUGGAUGAUGGGGAAACCAACAGAUUAGAUUUGAAAAGAAAAAAAAGACUUUCAUUUUUUAUAAAUCAGUCAAAAAUUAUAUCUUACAGAUAGUUAUGUAAGACAAUUGUAUUGACAUAAACAGACAACCUUCAUUCACACACCCUAUGACAGUACAUGUUAUAUAUUAUUUAACAUUUAUAUUUAAUAUAGUUCAUGCACUUGUAUCUUUUCUUUGGAAAGGUGAUAAAUGCUACUCAUUUUGUAAAUGUAAAUAUAUAAAAGGAGCUACCUUCUUUAAACUUAACUAAAAGAUUUCCAUAAGUGAAUUCUUUAGUAACAACAAUAAAAAUAUAUUUAAAGGCAAAGCCAUGUAUCUAUUAUCAUUAAAUAAAAAUCUGGUAUUCAAGUUAAAAUUUCUCUGCCUACUCUUAUUCAAGUAAAAUAUAAAAACUCUUAGGUUAAGACUCAACUUUCAAAUCUAAAUUCUAAUUAAUUAUGAGGGUACACUUACUCCUUCAGACGCAUAAAAUAGAUUUUCAAUAACAGUUCUUUAAGGUAAUUGUUAUAUACCUUACACAGAGAAAAAAGGGAAGUCUCACUGAUGUUCCUAGCUAAUGACAUGAAUAUGUGGCAUUUCCUCUCCUAUAAAAGGAUGUGACCUAAAAA